CCCAUGCCUCUAAUCAUUCGCUUUACCCCAUAAAAACUGAAUACGUUACUGCUAUCCUGAGGGAAACUUCGGCAGGAACCAGCUACUAGAUAGUUCGAUUAGUCUUUCGCCCCUAUGCCCAAAUUUGACGAUCGAUUUGCACGUCAGAACCGCUGCGAGCCUCCACCAGAGUU
rnacentral:rRNA from 1 species